AACGAACGCUGGCGGCAUGCCUAACACAUGCAAGUCGAACGAGACCUUCGGGUCUAGUGGCGCACGGGUGCGUAACGCGUGGGAUCCUGCCCUUAGGUUCGGAAUAACUCCCCGAAAGGGGUGCUAAUACCGGAUAAUGUCUUCGGACCAAAGAUUUAUCGCCUUUGGACGGGCCCGCGUUGGAUUAGCUAGUUGGUAGGGUAAAAGCCUACCAAGGCGACGAUCCAUAGCUGGUCUGAGAGGAUGAUCAGCCACACUGGGACUGAGACACGGCCCAGACUCCUACGGGAGGCAGCAGUGGGGAAUAUUGGACAAUGGGCGAAAGCCUGAUCCAGCAAUGCCGCGUGAGUGAUGAAGGCCUUAGGGUUGUAAAGCUCUUUUACCCGGGAUGAUAAUGACAGUACCGGGAGAAUAAGCUCCGGCUAACUCCGUG
rnacentral:rRNA from 1 species